AGUUGACAGAGAUCUGGAGUGAAGAACUUCAUCCGUAGCUGGGCCACAGUCUGUGUAAAUAAUACUGGACAAGCUCCAUACUUCAGAGUUUAUAAAACAUUCAUGAACAUUGCCUCCUCUGAGCCACAAAGUAAGUGGUGCCUUGUAGAGAGCUGCCUGCACAGUGUCAUGAAUUCUGUGUCAUGGAAAAGGACUUUUUGGCUCCCUGCCAACAUGUGAUGCGCUGAAUGAUCACCCAAUGGAAAUGUUGAAAAGGAGUAAGAGUGAAACGGGCGAGCUUUGCCCUAUCCAUGAUGUGAGUGGUACAGAUUCAAGUUUCUCACAGCCCUCCCUGGUGGCGCAGCGGGUUAAAGCACU